CACCUCGUGAAAGGUUACGGGCGGCUUCCACAUGGCAGCGGUAGGAUGCAGGUGUCCAUGAGAAAAGACCAGACUGUGUCCGAGGAGGAGGAGGAGGAGGAGGAUGAGGAGCUGGAGUCUGAGUCGGAUGCGGAGGUGGAAUGCGACCUGAGCAACAUGGAGAUCACCGAGGAGCUGCGCCGGUACUUCGCGACGACGGAGAAGCACCGAGAAGAGCGACGUGAGUGCGCGCCUCUGUCUCCUCAUCCCUCCCUUCUGCCCCGACAUUUGCACUCUUUCUUCCCCGAUAUGUAAAGCUGUUUUAUAGCUCCUCGUUUGGGGCACAGGUAAUAUUCCAAAUCUGGCCCUAAGGCUGGGAACGGUGAUGUAACGUUUCCGUUGUGUUAGCUUCUAGACUUGUUUGAGUUCAAGGGACCUUCAAAAAAAUUUAUGGAAAAAGGAUUGUGAAAAAACUACACAUGGACUUCAAUCUUUUUUUGCACCAAAAUUCCAUUUUCUAUGAAUUUUUUUUUGACAGGCAGAGUGGACAGUGAGAGAGAGAGACAGAGAGAAAGGUCUUCCUUUGCCGUUGGUUUACCUUCCAAGAUGGCCGCCGUGGCGGGAGCUGUGCCAAUCCGAUGGCGGGAGCCAGGUGCUUCUCCUGGUCUCCCAUAGGGUGCAGGGGCCAAGCACUUGGGCCAUCCUCCACUGCUCUCCCUGGCCACAGCAGAGAGCUGGCCUGGAAGAGGGGCAACCGGGACAGAAUCCGGCGCCACGACCGGGACUAGAACCCGGCGUGCCGGCGCCGCAAGGCAGAGGAUUAGCCUAGUGAGCUGCGGCACCGGCCUCAAUGAAUUUUUAAAAGCAUGUUUGGCUUCAUCUACUUGAAAGGCAGAGCAACAGCAGAGUGGGGGGGAAUCUGCUCUCUGCUGGUUACUGGUCCACCCCCCAAAUGCACACAAUAUACAGGGCUGGGCCAGGCCAAAGCCGGAGUGCCCAGGGGACACCCACAUUCUGUUUCAGGAUGCCAGUUCUAGUCCCGCCUCCACGUCCAUUCCAGCUUCUGCUAACACUCCUGGGAAGGCAGCAGGUGGUGGCCCAAGUCCUUGGGUCCCUGCCACCCACGUGGAAGACCCCAAUGGAGUUCCACUCUCCUGGCUUCAGCCUAGCCCAGCCCUGGCUGUUGUGGACAUAAGAUUGAUUGAUUGAUUUGAGAGGCAGAGUUACGGGGGGGGGGUUCCAUCCAUCCACUGGUUCACUCCCCAGAUGGUCACAACCACCAGAGCUGGACUGAUCCAAAGCCAGGUGCCAGGAGCUUCUUCUGAGUCUCCCACGCGGGUGCAGGGUCCCAAGGACUUGGGCCAUCUUCCACUGCUUUCCCAGGCCACAGCAGAGAGCUGGAUCAGAAGUGGAGCAGCUGGGACUCGAACCCGCGCCCAUACGGGAUGCCGGCGCCACAGGCAGAGGCUUAACGUGCUAACACCACAGCCCCAGGCCUAUGUCACAGCUUUUGAAAAAGAAAAAUGUUGGGCUUAUUCCUGCUGUCCUUAUCUACAGGUAGGAUGACAUGUUUUUCCUGCCAGAGAUUGGUACUUUUUUAGUGGAAACUAUAAGUAAGCAUGAAAGCAAACCACAGUCAUCUUAAAGGCCAUUUGGAAUUUUCUGCUUAUUUAAAAUAAACCGGGAUAAUUGUCAAUUUUAAAAAAAGUGGUGUGAAUGAAAUGAAAAUAAAAUCAUGAAAUGUGUCCUACAGCCAAAGAACAAAAUGCAGGAGGUAAGUUACGGAUAUGGUUAACAACCAGCCCUCUUCUUCUGUUUUGCCUUUAUCAGGUAGGAUUCUAAAGAUGUAGGUAAUAGGCCGGCGCCGCAGCUCACAAGGCUAAUCCUCCGCCUAGCGGCGCCGGCACACCGGGUUCUAGUCCCGGUCGGGGCGCCGGAUUCUGUCCCGGUUGCCCCUCUUCCAGGCCAGCUCUCUGCUGUGGCCCGGGAGUGCAGUGGAGGAUGGCCCAAGUGCCUGGGCCCUGCACCCCAUGGGAGACCAGGAAAAGCACCUGGCUCCUGCCAUCGCAUCAGCGCGGUGCGCCGGCCGCAGCGGCCAUUGGAGGGUGAACCAACGGCAAGGAAGACCUUUCUCUCUGUCUCUCUCUCUCACUGUCCACUCUGCCUGUCAAAAAAUAAAAUAAAAAAAUAAAUAAAAUGAAGUAAAAGUAAGAAAAGAGAGAAGUGAGCUGGGUUCAAGACCAUGUCCGCCCCGAGUCGCAGAAACAGGACGCACACACCAACCCAGCCUGUGAUUGGCCCCCGGGUCUGAGACAGGGGGAAGCCAUUGGCUGCCUGACGUGUCACCCUGGCGAGUCCAGCCCAGACGGAGGGCGAGGUCGGCGGCGAGGCUUCCGGGAGUUGUAGUCUCCCCGCUCCGCCCUGUCCAAGCCUACUGUGGCUGGACGGUGUGAAACCAGGACAUAUGGCCCACAGAUGAUAGAAGCAAAAUGAUA